UUUAGUACAUCAUUGUCUAGACUGUUUCGGGUCGCAUUGUAGCACAUUGCUAUACAUCUCGAACAGUACAUUCACCCGAAGUGGAAAACAACAUUCCCCGAGCAGGGUUGUUUGAAAGUACAUUUUGAAAUAAAAGCAUCGGUCGAUAUUGAUUGCGAACUACCGAUUACUAUUUAUGUUCUCAGAUGGCCCAUGCGAAUUUAGCACACUGCAGAGCAACAACAACAACCACAAUUAUGUCCAUUUUUUAAUUAUUGAAAAGAAAAGCCAGUCUGAAGAUCGUGCAGAUAAGCUACAUCCCGGACUAAAAGAAGAUAGAAACAUACUCACUUAAAACGUGAGCGGAUUUUCUGCAUGUUGUGGCUAGGACGAUGGCAAACGAAGCUAUUUAAACAAACAUCUAGUGUUGCGAGACGAAGGAGUAUUCUCCUACAGAACACCAUCGCUAUAGAUUGUUGAAAAUUGUGAGCACUUGGAAUUCAUUUUGAGCCCCAUCUACUGCUGCAUCGCACUUGAUCUACAGAUUCUUUAAAGAAAUUUAUUGGACAGAUGUUUCAUGAGAAGGAUAUCAAAAGAUAUGGAAUUAUGGUCUAAUUCUAUAGGUAUGUACAUCUGCCUUUUUUUAAUGUUUAGUUUUACACUAGGUUGCAGAGUGGAAAUUUCGUUCGAAAUGUUAUUAUUCUUUUAAAAUCAAAAUAUUAAUGGUAAUUCAUCAUUUUAAUAGUCCAAAUCAAUAGUGAAAGUUAA